CCUACGGGUGGCAGCAGUGAGGAAUAUUGGUCAAUGGGCGCAAGCCUGAACCAGCCAAGUCGCGUGAGGGAAGACGGUCCUAUGGAUUGUAAACCUCUUUUGUCGGGGAGCAAAAUACGCCACGCGUGGCGUUUCGAGAGUACCCGAAGAAAAAGCAUCGGCUAACUCCGUGCCAGCAGCCGCGGUAAUACGGAGGAUCCGAGCGUUAUCCGGAUUUAUUGGGUUUAAAGGGAGCGUAGGUGGAUUGUUAAGUCAGUUGUGAAAGUUUGCGGCUCAACCGUAAAAUUGCAGUUGAAACUGGCAGUCUUGAGUACAGUAGAGGUAGGCGGAAUUCGUGGUGUAGCGGUGAAAUGCUUAGAUAUCACGAAGAACUCCGAUUGCGAAGGCAGCUUACUGGACUGCAACUGACACUGAUGCUCGAAAGUGUGGGUAUCAAACAGGAUUAGAUACCCAAGUAGUC
rnacentral:rRNA from 1 species